rnacentral:rRNA from 1 species
AACGAACGCUGGCGGCGCGUCUUAAGCAUGCAAGUCGAACGGCAAGAGAGGAGCUUGCUUCUCUCCUAGAGUGGCGGACUGGUGAGGAACACGUGGGUAAUCUACCCUUAGGAUGGGGAUAGCUGCUAGAAAUAGCAGGUAAUACCGAAUACACUCGGCAUAUCACAAGAGGUGUUGAGGAAAGGAAGCUACGGCUUCGCUUGAGGAUGAGCUUGCGUCCCAUUAGCUAGUUGGUGAGGUAAAGGCCCACCAAGGCGACGAUGGGUAUCAGGCCUGAGAGGGUGAACGGACAAAUUGGGACUGAGAGACGGCCCAAACUCCUACGGGAGGCAGCAGCUAAGAAUAUUCCGCAAUGGACGGAAGUCUGACGGAGCGACGCCGCGUGGAUGAAGAAGGCUGAAAAGUUGUAAAAUCCUUUUGUUGAUGAAGAAUAAGGGUGAGAGGGAAUGCUCAUCUGAUGACGGUAAUCGACGAAUAAGCCCCGGCUAAUUACGUGC